rnacentral:rRNA from 1 species
GACGAACGCUGGCGGCGUGCUUAACACAUGCAAGUCGAGCGAUGAAACUUCUUCGGAAGUGGAUUAGCGGCGGACGGGUGAGUAACACGUGGGCAACCUGCCUCAUAGUGGGGAAUAGCCUCUCGAAAGGGAGAUUAAUACCGCAUAAGAUUGUGGCUUCGCAUGAAGUAGCAAUUAAAGGAGCAAUCCGCUAUGAGGUGGGCCCGCGGCGCAUUAGCUAGUUGGUGAGGUAACGGCUCACCAAGGCGACGAUGCGUAGCCGACCCGAGAGGGUGAUCGGCCACAUUGGGACUGUGACACGGCCCAGACUCCUACGGGAGGCAGCAGGGUGGAAUAUUGCACAAUGGGGGAAACCCUGAUGCAGCAACGCCGCGUGAGUGAUGACGGCCUUCGGGUUGUAAAGCUCUGUCUUCAGGGACGAUAAUGACGGUACCUGAGGAGGAAGCCACGGCUAACUACGUGCCAGCAGCCGCCGUAA